CACAAUUCUUUCAUACGUAAAAACUUCAAUUUGAACAGAUCUAUCAAAUGAGACGAUGAGGGACCUGACAUUUACCGAAAUGAUUCAAAUGUGUAAUUCAUAUAUUUUCAGUGAAGCAGGGUUCGGGAACUAAAGCAUAUUUGUUGGAUUGUUUGACCAUUGACUAGCGAUGACCGAUAAAUUCGAACGAUAAAUUCGCUCCCUUAUAGUGUCCUUUAAUAAAAUUUUCGACUACAGCGGAUUUCAACGCGCGGUGUUAUGCUGUAUGCUACGUCAGAAUUUCACAACUAGCUCACAUUUACCCUCAUGACGCUAUAUACCUAUAUAUAUUUAUAAC